GACGAACGCUGGCGGCGUGCUUAACACAUGCAAGUCGAACGGAAAGGCCCUGCUUUUGUGGGGUGCUCGAGUGGCGAACGGGUGAGUAACACGUGAGUAACCUGCCCUUGACUUUGGGAUAACUUCAGGAAACUUGGGCUAAUACCGGAUAGGAUCUCCUGCUGCAUGGUGGGGGUUGGAAAGUUUCGGCGGUUGGGGAUGGACUCGCGGCUUAUCCGCUUGUUGGUUGGGUAGUUGCUUACCAAGGAUUUGACGGGUAGCCGGCCUGAGAGGGUGAACGGGCAAAUGGGGACGGAGAGACGGCCCAGAAGCCAACGGGAGGCAGCAGUGGGGAAUAUUGCACAAUGGGAGGAAGCCUGAUGCAGCAACGCCGCGUGCGGGAUGACGGCCUUCGGGUUGUAAACCGAUUUCGACUGUGACGAAGCGUGAGUGACGGUAAUGGGUAAAGAAGCACCGGCUAACUACGUG
rnacentral:rRNA from 1 species